rnacentral:rRNA from 1 species
ACGCUCGACACCUACGGGAGGCAGCAGUGGGGAAUAUUGCACAAUGGGGGGAACCCUGAUGCAGCGACGCCGCGUGAGUGAAGAAGUACUUCGGUAUGUAAAGCUCUAUCAGCAGGGAAGAAAAUGACGGUACCUGACUAAGAAGCCCCGGCUAACUACGUGCCAGCAGCCGUGGUAAUCUGAGCGGGCUGGCAAGGC